rnacentral:lncRNA from 1 species
UGAAGACUUUUUUCUGCUUCUAAGGGCAAAACCAUUCAUCCCUCUUCCAUUAUCUGUUCUGUGCACAGAUGGGCUCAGUGUGAUUGUCAUCGUAUUCCUUGGAGAUGGCUGCAAGUCAGCGUGGCAAAGGGUUUAUGACAUUGAUACUCCUGUGGAAGGACACUCUCCAUAUACAGAAGCAUGUGAGCAUUUGUAAAUUCCACAAGAAGCCUUGUGCCUUUUUUCUUCCUGUUUUCUACCAGCAGACAGAGUUGAUGAUUUUGACUUGCAGUUGCCUCUGA